AGAGUUGAUUCUGGCUCAAGAACGAACGCUGGCGGCGCGUCUAAGCAUGCAAGGUCGAACGGCAAGAGGUAGCAAUACCUCCUAGAGUGGCGGAACUGGUGAGUAACACGUGGGUGACAUACCCUUCAGAUGGGGAUAGCUAUUAGAAAUAGUAGAUAAUACCGAAUACGAGCACAGGGGUUAGAGAUCUGUGAGGAAAGGAGCUAAGGCUCCGCUGAAGGAAUGGCCUGCGGCCCAUUAGCUAGUUGGUGAGGUAAGAGCCCACCAAGGCGAUGAUGGGUAUCCGGCCUUAGAGGGUGAACGGACACAUUGGGACUGAGAUACGGCCCAGACUCCUACGGGAGGCAGCAGCUAAGAAUAUUCCGCAAUGGACGAAAGUCUGACGGAGCGACGCCGCGUGGAUGAAGAAGGCCGGAAGGUUGUAAAAAUCCUUUUGAAACUGAAGAAUAAGCGUUGUAGGGAAUGACAGCGUGGUGACAGUAGGUUUUGAAUAAGCAACGGCUAAUUACGUGCCAGCAGCGGC
rnacentral:rRNA from 1 species